GGAGAGAUGGCCGAGCGGCUGAAGGCGACGGUUUGCUAAACCGUUAUAUGAUUGAAAAGUCAUAUCGAGGGUUCGAAUCCCUCUCUCUCCG
rfam:Wolbachia endosymbiont of Onchocerca ochengi complete genome, strain wOo